GUAGUUCUAGACCCUACUGCCUCUAGACUGGUUUCUUCCCGCCCCCACAAUUCCCCAGCCGCCUACGGACUCUGAAGUUGCUGUGGACUGAGCACCGAGCAUACGGAGACACAGUAGGGAGAAGACCUGGACGCCGCUCAGAAGCUUCUAGAGUUUGGCAACGGCGCGAGCAGCACGCUUGAGCGGGCGGCUGGGCGGCCCCUGCUGCAUCCGCACGUCUCAGGACGCGCUGGGGGUACGCGCGUAGUGCGCCACUCAAGUUUGAGAUCAAGCCAGAGGCAUCAUCUGGACAGACAUACCGCAAAUGCAUGAGCCUGGGAAAUGGAAAGCAGGAUGGAAAUUCCUACACAUUCAAGGAACUAUCCUCAAGGGGACCACUGUACUCUGAUGCCCAAACAACAUACUGAAGUGGCCAACACCAUGUACCCCUCCUGUUCCAGUGAAACCAGAUAGCUCUGAAAGUAAACUAGUAUCCUUUAGGGACUGAAAAGUACAAAAUGUGAAGGCUUGUAUUAUGCCCUUUAAAAAAGGAAUUAUCAUUUAUAAUUUAUACAGGUUAUAUUAGGUAUAAAUCUUUUUAUUUUUUUGAGAGGGC